UACGAACUGUGCGAACGUUAUUCGGAAUCACUGGGCGUACAGGGUGCGUAGGCGGCUCAACAAGUCAGGUGUGAAAGCCCCCGGCUCAACCGGGGAACUGCGCUUGAAACUGUUAGGCUCGAGUCAGCUAGAGGUACACGGAACUUCCAGUGGAGCGGUGAAAUGUGUUGAUAUUGGAAGGAACACCGGAGGCGAAAGCGGUGUACUGGGGCUGGUCUGACGCUGAGGCACGAAAGCCAGGGGAGCGAACGGG
rnacentral:rRNA from 1 species